GAUGAACGCUGGCGGCGUACCUAAUACAUGCAAGUCGAGCGAACAGACGAGGAGCUUGCUCCUCUGACGUUAGCGGCGGACGGGUGAGUAACACGUGGAUAACCUACCUAUAAGACUGGGAUAACUUCGGGAAACCGGAGCUAAUACCGGAUAAUAUAUUGAACCGCAUGGUUCAAUAGUGAAAGACGGUUUUGCUGUCACUUAUAGAUGGAUCCGCGCCGCAUUAGCUAGUUGGUAAGGUAACGGCUUACCAAGGCGACGAUGCGUAGCCGACCUGAGAGGGUGAUCGGCCACACUGGAGCUGAGACACGGUCCAGACUCCUACGGGAGGCAGCAGUAGGGAAUCUUCCGCAAUGGGCGAAAGCCUGACGGAGCAACGCCGCGUGAGUGAUGAAGGUCUUCGGAUCGUAAAACUCUGUUAUUAGGGAAGAACAAAUGUGUAAGUAACUAUGCACGUCUUGACGGUACCUAAUCAGAAAGCCACGGCUAACUACGU
rnacentral:rRNA from 1 species